rnacentral:rRNA from 1 species
GGACAGGGCGGCGUGCUUACCAUGCAAGUCGCACGAGAACACUUCAGCUUGCUGAAGUUAGUAAAGUGGCGCACGGGUGAGUAACGCGUGGGUAAUCUCCCCCCGAAUUGGGGAUAACAUUGCGAAAGCGAUGCUAAUACCGGAUAAUAUCUUAAAUACCUCGGUAUUCAAGAUCAAAGAUGGCCUCUACACGUAAGCUACUGUUUGGGGAUGAGCCCGCGUACCAUUAGCUUGUUGGUAGGGUAACGGCCUACCAAGGCCGCGAUGGUUAGCUGGUCUGAGAGGAUGAUCAGCCACACUGGAACUGACACACGGUCCAGACUCCUACGGGAGGCAGCAGUGAGGAAUUUUGCGCAAUGGGGGAAACCCUGACGCAGCAACGCCGCGUGAGUGAUGAAGGCUUUCGGGUCGUAAAGCUCUGUCAAGUGGGAAGAACCCACGUGGUGCUAAUAUCACCAUGUGCUGACGGUACCACUGAAGGAAGCACCGGCUAACUCCGUGCCAGCAGCCGCGGUAAUACGGGGGGUGCAAGCGUUAUUCGGAAUUACUGGGCGUAAAGAGCGCGUAGGCGGUCUUUUAAGUCAGGUGUGAAAGCCCGGGGCUCAACCCCGGAAGUGCACUUGAAACUAAAAGACUUGAGUAUGGGAGAGGGAAGUGGAAUUCCUGGUGUAGCGGUGAAAUGCGUAGAUAUCAGGAGGAACACCGGUGGCGAAGGCGACUUCCUGGACCAAUACUGACGCUGAGGCGCGAAGGCGUGGGGAGCAAACAGGAUUAGAUACCCUGGUAGUCCACGCAGUAAACGGUGAACACUAGGUGUAGCGGGUAUUGACCCCUGCUGUGCCGCAGCAAACGCAUUAAGUGUUCCGCCUGGGGAGUACGGGCCGCAAGGUUAAAACUCAAAGGAAUUGACGGGGGCCCGCACAAGCGGUGGAGCAUGUGUUUAAUUCGACGCAACGCGAAGAACCUUACCUGAUUUGACAUCCCGGGAAUCUUUUUUGAAAAUUAGAGUACCCUUCGGGGAGCCCGGUGACAGGUGCUGCAUGCUGUCGUCAGCUCGUGUCGUGAGAUGUUGGGUAGUCCGCACGAGCGCCACCCCUCCUCUUUAGUACAUCAUUAGUGGGGACUCUAAAGAAUACCUGCCCAUACGGGGAGGAGGUGGGGAAUGACGUCAGUCCUCAUGGGCUUUAGUCCAGCUACCACUGCUAAUGGGCUGUACAAGGGUCUGCCCAACCCCUCUGCCAGAGGUUGAGA